rnacentral:rRNA from 1 species
GUGCAGCAGGCGCGAAACUUCACACUGUGCGAAAGCACGAUGAGGGAAUCCCAAGUGCUUGCACGUAAGUGUAAGCUGUUUCUCUGUCUAAAACGCAGAGAGAGUAAGGGCUGGGUAAGACGGGUGCCAGCCCGCCGCGGGUGAUACCUGCAGCUCAAGUGGUGACCGUUAUUAUUGGGCCUAAAACGUCCGUAGCCGGUUUUAAUAAAUGCCUGGGUAAAUUGUGUAGCUUAACUAUACGAAUUCCGGGUAGACUGUUAAACUUGAGACCGGGAGAAGUUAGAGGUACUCCUGGGGUAGAGGUGAAAUUCUGUAACUCCUAGGGGGACCACCAGUGGCGAAGGCGUCUAACUAGAACGGGUCUGACGGUGAGGGACGAAGCCCUGGGGCGCAAACGGGGAUUAGAUACCCGUGUAGU